rnacentral:rRNA from 1 species
AUUGAACGCUGGCGGCAGGCCUGACACAUGCAAGUCGAGCGGAUGAAGGGAGCUUGCUCCUGGAUUCAGCGGCGGACGGGUGAGUAAUGCCUAGGAAUCUGCCUGGUAGUGGGGGAUAACGUCCGGAAACGGGCGCUAAUACCGCAUACGUCCUGAGGGAGAAAGUGGGGGAUCUUCGGACCUCACGCUAUCAGAUGAGCCUAGGUCGGAUUAGCUAGUUGGUGGGGUAAAGGCCUACCAAGGCGACGAUCCGUAACUGGUCUGAGAGGAUGAUCAGUCACACUGGAACUGAGACACGGUCCAGACUCCUACGGGAGGCAGCAGUGGGGAAUAUUGGACAAUGGGCGAAAGCCUGAUCCAGCCAUGCCGCGUGUGUGAAGAAGGUCUUCGGAUUGUAAAGCACUUUAAGUUGGGAGGAAGGGCAGUAAGUUAAUACCUUGCUGUUUUGACGUUACCAACAGAAUAAGCACCGGCUAACCUCGUG